rnacentral:rRNA from 1 species
GGGGGGGGGGGGGGGGGGGGGGGGGGCGGGCGGGGCGGGCGGGGGGGCCCCUGUGGGGGUGCGCGAGGGGCGCACGGGGGGGUAACACGUGGGUGACCGUCCCUGGGCUGCGGGAGCACUUCCGGACACUGGGGCUAAUCCCGGCUGGGCAUCCUUUCUGCCUGUUGGGUGUUGGCAAGCGUCGGCGGUUGUGGAUGGACUCGCGGCUUAUCAGCUUGUUGGUGGGGUAGUGGCUUACCAAGGCUUUGACGGGUAGCCGGCCUGAGAGGGCGACCGGCCACAUUGGGACUGAGAUACGGCCCAGACUCCUACGGGAGGCAGCAGUGGGGAAUAGUGCACAAUGGGCGGAAGCCUGAUGCAGCAACGCCGCGUGCGGGAUGACGGCCUUCGGGUUGUAAACCGCUUUCAGCAGGGGCGAAGCUUGUGGUGACGGUACCUGCAGAAGAAGCACCGGCUAACUACGUG